UACGGGGGGAGCAAGCGUUGUUCGGAUUUACUGGGCGUAAAGGGCGCGUAGGCGGCCAGCGCAAGUCAGUUGUGAAAUCUCCGGGCUUAACCCGGAAAGGUCAGCCGAUACUGCGGGGCUAGAGUGCAGAAGGGGCAACUGGAAUUCUCGGUGUAGCGGUGAAAUGCGUAGAUAUCGAGAGGAACACCUGCGGCGAAGGCGGGUUGCUGGGCUGACACUGACGCUGAUGUGCGAAAGCUAGGGGAGCGAACGGG
rnacentral:rRNA from 1 species